AGACAAGAAGGCCUCCUCGGACGUCAAGAGGGUACAAGCGAGUAGCAGUGGAAGUGAUCCGUGCAAAAACAAGAACUUGGCAGAAGCUCUACGGAUGCAACUGGAGGUUCAGAAGCAGCUCCAUGAACAAUUGGAGAUGCAAAGGCAACUGCAGC